rnacentral:rRNA from 1 species
UUUACGGAGAGUUUGAUCCUGGCUCAGGAUGAACGCUGGCGGCGUGCUUAACACAUGCAAGUCGAACGGUGAAAGAGAGCUUGCUCUCUGGAUCAGUGGCGAACGGGUGAGUAACACGUGAGCAAUCUGCCCCUGACUCUGGGAUAAGCGCUGGAAACGGCGUCUAAUACCGGAUACGAGCUGCGAAGGCAUCUUCAGCAGCUGGAAAGAACUUCGGUCAGGGAUGAGCUCGCGGCCUAUCAGCUAGUUGGUGAGGUAACGGCUCACCAAGGCGUCGACGGGUAGCCGGCCUGAGAGGGUGACCGGCCACACUGGGACUGAGACACGGCCCAGACUCCUACGGGAGGCAGCAGUGGGGAAUAUUGCACAAUGGGCGAAAGCCUGAUGCAGCAACGCCGCGUGAGGGACG